CAGUCAUCUUCGAUUUGGAUUCUUGGGCAUCUUAUAAACAGAUCUUCAAACGUUUGUUCUGAUGAACUUAAAAGUUGUGAAUGUAAGUAUUUUUCUAUCAUUGAAUGAUUGAUUCUAGUAUACAAUAACUCAAAAAUGUUAAUUAAUAAUAUAAUUAGUAAUUAUUGCAAAUUUGCAGUAUUAUGAUAUCAAGAGAUCAAUUUUCUCUACCCAAUUUUUGUACAGAUAUCAAUAUAUUAUUUCUUGCUUCAUUGUUAUAAUUUUACUAUUUUAAUGCUUCUUGGUAUUAAUAUUAAUGAGGUUGUUUCUGUACUGUAUUUUAGGUACUGUAAUUACAUGUCAAGGUGUACCAAGUUUGAGAGCUUGUUUUGGGCCGAAUAUGUUUACCGAGUGUACCACUUGCAGCAAUAGGACAAGAAUACAGUUACAGACAAUGUUAUCUUACAAACUCAUGUAACUUGGUGUUGACAAUUGAUUGUAUACUGUGGUAAAUGUUGGUCUGCAUGUUCCAUUGGUAAGCACGAUGAGUGCAGUGUGCAUCUUUAAACAUCCUUGUUACCAGCAAGAGGGUUCGGCAAAGAAAACUAUGGAAAAUUUAGCUGUACCAAUAGAGUCAUUUAAGUUAACACAGAGGAACAUCUUUUAAACCAAACAUGAAACUGCAGGAAAAACUAAGUUUGCUCUUAAAAGACAAGAAACAGGUCAGAAAGUCUAACCGCCAGACAUCUGAAAAAAACAACAGACGUCGACAGGUGGAGCAGCUCCAAAAGAAAACCGAGAGAAGAAGCUCUAUGAGAAGUAGAAGGGACAACUUAUCAGGCUGGAGGCUUCUGAAGUGCUAAAAGUACUUCUAAUGACAAAAAAUUAAGCUAAAGUCCCUGAAACCUGUCAGGAACAGCUCGAACAGUUGUUUAAAAACUUUAACACUUGUUUUCUCGGAAUGUACAUUUUCCGUCUUUGAGAAAAGAUAUCUCAUGAUGUAUUUAACCAAUUGUCCUGAAAUUUUCAGGGCUUAUUCUUUUAUUAGAGCUGUCUUAAUUAAGCAUAGGAAAUUUCUGUAUCUUGUGUGGAAUACAUUUUAUGACAAAAAAUAUUAUCGAAAAAACCUAUGUUAACUUUGUACCUCUGCUGUGACCACAAGAUUUAUCAUACAAAAAAGUUCUAUGCUCAUUUAAGAUAAUGAUGCCUAUACUAUUUACUGAUAAAAUUUCUUAAAAUUCCAAGCAAUUUAUAAGCAGAUAUCUUUUCUCAAAUGCACCCUAGUUUUGCACAGCAUGUGGUAUGAUUGGCCGCCUGGUGUCAGGUUACAAAGGACGUUAGGCACUAGUGAUUAGUAUUUUUAGUUUCUAUAGGUCAUAAGCUUUCUACUGAUAUAUAGUUUGUCAUAACUCUGGUGAAUAUCUUUAAAAUUACAGCCAUUUCAAAAAUGACCAUCAAUCCAUGUGUACCCCCGCCUAAUCAGAUCACAUUCAAGAUCACACCUCAUGAUUUGCCCAAAAAGCAUCACUGGAAAUGUGAUGUAUCAGGUAGUAUUUUACAACUCAAAGGGCACUUCUGCCCCCCCCC
rnacentral:lncRNA from 1 species